rnacentral:rRNA from 1 species
GACGAACGCUGGCGGCGUGCCUAACACAUGCAAGUCGAACGGAAAGGCCCUGCUUUUGUGGGGUGCUCGAGUGGCGAACGGGUGAGUAACACGUGAGUAACCUUCCCUUGACUUUGGGAUAACUUCAGGAAACUGGGGCUAAUACCGGAUAGGAGCUCCUGCUGCAUGGUGGGGGUUGGAAAGUUUCGGCGGUUGGGGAUGGACUCGCGGCUUAUCAGCUUGUUGGUGGGGUAGUGGCUUACCAAGGCUUUGACGGGUAGCCGGCCUGAGAGGGUGACCGGCCACAUUGGGACUGAGAUACGGCACAGACUCCUACGGGAGGCAGCAGUGGGGAAUAGUGCACAAUGGGCGGAAGCCUGAUGCAGCAACGCCGCGUGCGGGAUAACGGCCUUCGGGUUGUAAACCGCUUUCGCCUGUGACGAAGCGUGAGUGACGGUAAUGGGUAAAGAAGCACCGGCUAACUACGUG